ACACACUCCUGAAACCCGAGGGAACCUGCUUCCAGAUGAUGUCCAGGAAGAAGUGGAUACUGGGUCUGUAGAUGGUGAUUCCACUGAACCUUGAAGUUGGGCUGUGCUCUACCUCAGCUGCACAUGGCAGUGGGACAUCAAGACCUUAGGAGCUGAUUCAGACCACGACUGUCAAUACCAAAGAGAGGCGAUCAAGUUCAAAAUACACUUCUCCAGUCUUGAGCUCCCGUCCUGCACAUCCAAUUGCCUGCUGGUGUCCUCACUUGAUUGAGCAACAGGGAUCUCAAUUAUAACACAUCCCAAACUGGA